UCCUACGGGGGGCAGCAAUUAGGAAUCUUGCGCAAUGGGCGAAAGCCUGACGCAGCGACGUCGCGUGACUGAUGAAGUCUUUCGGGAUGUAAAAGUCUUUUCUGGGGGAAGAAGGAUGUGACGGUACCCCAGGAAUAAGCCCCGGCUAACUACGUGCCAGCAGCCGCGGUAAUACGUAGGGGGCGAGCGUUGUCCGAAUUCACUGGGCGUAAAGCGCGCGUAGGCGGGUUUUUAAGUUGGGGGUGAAAUCCCGAGGCUCAACCUCGGAACUGCCUCCAAAACUGGAAGCCUUGAGGUUUGGAGAGGGAAGUGGAAUUCCAGGUGUAGCGGUGAAAUGCGUAGAUAUCUGGAGGAACACCCGUGGCGAAGGCGGCUUCCUGGCCAUAUCCUGACGCUGAGGUGCGAAAGCUAGGGGAGCGAACGGGAUUAGAUACCCCGGUAGUCCA
rnacentral:rRNA from 1 species